CAGUAGCCGCGGUAAUACGGAGGGGGCUAGCGUUGUUCGGAAUUACUGGGCGUAAAGCGCACGUAGGCGGCUUGGUAAGUUAGAGGUGAAAGCCCGGAGCUCAACUCCGGAAUUGCCUUUAAGACUGCCGAGCUAGUAGGUGAGAGAGGUAAGUGGAAUUCCGAGUGUAGAGGUGAAAUUCGUAGAUAUUCGGAAGAACACCAGUGGCGAAGGCGGCUUACUGGCUCAUUCUAGACGCUGAGGUGCGAAAGCGUGGGGAGCAAACAGGAUUAGAGACCCGCGUAGUCCCUGUCUCUAUACC
rnacentral:rRNA from 1 species